rnacentral:rRNA from 1 species
UACGUAGGGGGCUAGCGUUGUCCGGAAUCAUUGGGCGUAAAGAGCGUGUAGGCGGCCCGGUAAGUCCGCUGUGAAAGUCGGGGGCUCAACCCUCGAAAGCCGGUGGAUACUGUCGGGCUAGAGUGCGGAAGAGGCGAGUGGAAUUCCUGGUGUAGCGGUGAAAUGCGCAGAUAUCAGGAGGAACACCGAUUGCGAAGGCAGCUCGCUGGGACGUGACUGACGCUGAGACGCGAAAGCGUGGGGAGCGAACAGG